ACCUGCUGUUCUUGUUGGAAGUUUGCUAUCGGUUCAGCAACUCACACAUACAUUCUAUGGUGCCAGAAAUGUGACCUUAUUAAAUUCGAAGGCAACAAAUCCAGUUUGCUGGAUCACAGAGCCUCUCAUCCUGUAUGGCGUGAACCUUUCCUACUUCACCAUCAUAUUUGUGUUCAACGCAGUGGUUCUAAUCACAGUGUCCAGGCAGAUCUUUAAGCUAAAGAAAUUGGACAACAAGAAUAAGAAAAUACCAGUGAAGGAUGCCAGCACAGUUCUGGGCCUCAUGUGUCUGCUGGGUACAUCAUGGGGUUUGGUUUUUCUUGGUUAUGGAUAUACCAGUUACCCAAUACUCUACAUAUUCUGCAUUUCAAAUACAAUUCAAGGGUUUUCUAUCUUUCUGUGGAUGUGUCGGACAGCAAGGCCAGAAAAACAGAAAGAAGCUCAUUCCAAGUCUUUAUCCACUUCGGAUACCUUCAUCAUUGAAAAACAAUAGGAAUAACUUAUGCAUAACAUUUUAUCAACCAAAAUGACCAAAGCUCAUGACCAAAAUGAAAUAUGGUAGAAACAUUUUAGGUUCUACGGUUUUAACUUGAUUUACAUUUAAAUACCAUAAUUUAAUUAACUGAUAUAAUGUUAAUAUACCAACCUAUUGAACUACUGAAAUCUGUUUUGUAUCUUUGUAAUACACUGAUAACCACAAUAUGCAGGUGGUGAAAAGAAAAGCACACGAUGAACCGAAGCCCAUCACAAGCAGCUUAUAAAUAAUAACAUUUAUAGAAGGAGCACAGUGUAAUUCACACAGACACUAAACACCAUCAUGGUAACAAUCAACCCUAAUACUGCACAAGUACGCUCCAGUCUACAUGCUCGCUCUUUGGCUUUUUAAAUCUGGGCGCUCUGAAGCAUGCAAAAAAUCAAGAUAUGCCAAAAUCUGCCAAAGCAUCCUACUUUCAACUUACUAUGCUCCUCAUGACAGACAGUAAAUGGACAGUAAAUACAAAGAAACUAGUAAGUAAGGCCAAUCAAAGAACAACUUCCAUCAGAAGGCUAAGAAAAUAUGGCAUGUCAUCACAGAUUCUCCAUAACUUCUACAGAAGCACUCUGGAGAGUGUUAACUUGCUGCAUUGCUGUGUGGUUUGGCAACACAGCAUAGAAAGUCUUUACAGAGGGUGAUAAAUCUUGCCUGGAGAAUCACAGGAAUUCAUCUCCCCUCACUACAGGACAUACACAAAAAAAGGGAUCUGCAAAUGGGCUUGCAGCAUCAUCAAGGACACACAUGAAGUCUGGCAAGUGGUACGAGAGCACUGUGGCCAGAACAUCCAGACUCCAGUUUAAUCCCCCAGGUCAUUAGACUGAUAAAUAGUCAAAACCCACUUCCACUUCCACCUGUAUCAUCAGGAUAAACUCAGCCUGUUUAAUGGCACUCUGCACUUUACCUGCUGGACCUUCAUACACUCUUAACCCAUACACUCUUUACACUUUACACUUUAUCACCACUUGACAAUUUACAAUUUGUCACUUUAUUGCUACUUGCACUGCACAUUUAUUCUGUGAAGAAUUUUUUGUUGACAGUUUUUUUUAAUUAUCAUACAGUCCUCUUUUCUUUUCUUUCUCUUUCAUCACUCUCUAAGCUAUUAUUUAUAUGUUUAUUUUACUGUAUUUUCUAUAUUUUUUACAUACUUUGUGUUGCCUGUGUAAGUUAUAUUUUUUCCCAUUAUACCCUGUAAAUCCAUUAUGACCCAUGUCAUUCAGAGGAGUAUGCAAAGGAAGAAUCUUAAUAUACAAAACUGAUAAGAAAAAAAAAAUCUAAGAAAGAAACAUGGUUAUUUAUUUUUCCACUUACAAAAAUGGUAUUCUUCCUUAUAAUUACAAUGUAUUUUCCAAUACAUUUUUUCACCGUAUAUAGUAGGGGAAUUUACCGUAAAAAAAUUAACAGAUUUUUACUGUAGCAUUUUUGAUAAAAUAGGGUGUAUCAGGUGUUCCAUUUCAAGGGGAAAGCCAUUUGUAUUGGUUUCUGAAACUGGAGUGCUCAUUCAAUACCAAAACGCACCACAAUAACAAGUGUACCACUGAUAUACACUCAAUGGCUAGAGAAUACCUGUAAUGCAUUGGGAAAGCCCCAAAACAUUUCACUCAAACUAAAACAUCCAAAUAAUUUGCAUAUUAUAUACUACAUACUACAUAUUUACUCAUCAGACUAAUGUUGGAAUUACGGGGAGAUUUUGGAUACUUUGCCAUUAUUUCCUUUGUUCCAAAUCUGUGUGACUGACUUUCUUCUGCAGAACUCAAAUGAUAUUAUUUUUUGAACAAUUAUCAGACAACUUUUUUUGUCAAUACAAUAUAAAAAUGAGUGGAGUUCAAAAAUAACAUUUCAGUCUUGAACUUUAGAGACUUUCACUACAUUUAUGUGCAAUGCUAAGUAUUUUCUUCAUGCUAUUUAUAGUAAAUAAUAAGACAGGUAAUGUGUAACCUACCUAUUUUCUGUACUGUAUAUUUAUUUAAAUUGCAUGUUUC